CUGGUUUUCACAGUGAUUUGACAGAUAUAUUUGAUUCUGAGAUCAUUGUGAAAGCUGAUU
rnacentral:pre_miRNA from 1 species